AGAUACUCCUUCAUCCAGUCGAGCUGACAUUCCAACUAACCAUCAUCGUGUCUUAUUCUGGAAGCACCGAGUGCCAUCAGGAGGGCCCAGAUGGCAACUUUAUCAGACGCUGGAAAUAAACAGAUUCGUUUAACAGCAGAAGCUUGUAUCCAGGAAAAGUGGCAGUGGAUUUGACUUUGAAACUUUUCAUGGGAGUGGACUUGGGGCGAACACGAUGGAUCGGCCAAAUGAA